CCCUCGGGCUGGCGGAGGCGCCGGAGGAGCCCCCGAGCUGCAGCCGUCUCCCUCGGGCUGCUGCCGGUGCUGCGGGCGGAGGCGGCUCCGCCGCGUGUUGGGCGCUGCGAGCAGGGAGCGCUGCGGUAUCGCCGGCAUGACGGGGUUGCUGCCUGCGUUAGUGCUCGUGGCUCUUUGUGCCGUGACAGCGGAUGGAGCGGCGCUGAGCGGUAAAGCCAGAGAUGGCCGGGAGAAUGCCCAGCGCAGGGAGCGGGCGGGCUGUAUGCUUCGGAUGGCACAGGAUACUCAGAAAAUAUGUCUCCCUUAGAGUCCCACAGAAACGUUCUCAGUGCGAUCUCUAUCAAGUGCUAUGAGUCUUGAUCAAUUGGAGAAGAGCCCAAGAGAAAUUUUUCAUCCCUUGAUAUAAAAGGGAUCGGUGAAUUUUAACUUUGGAGUCCCCUAUGCUAAGGAUGCUCAGCUUACAGGUGAUGAAAUGUUCAGUAAUGUAUUUGCUGCAGCUCUGCUUACCCAAGCUUUGGGUUCCUUCUGUCCCACUGGGAGUUGCCCAAUUUGGUUGCAUCUGGUGAAAUUCACCCUGAGACCUUACAGAAGCAGCUCCAACUACGUGAGAGCCAUUUGCAGUUCUCUCCAGACGCCUGGAGAAUGGGCGACGUUUCUGAGGAUCCGGCGAGCGUGCCUCUAUCAAAACUCAGUCUGUGAAGUUUCUGGGGAAAACCCUUCUGUGUCCUGAAGGGUUCAAACUCUGGGAAAGACUCUCGUGUCCUUGUCGUCGGGCUCGGUGCUGUCCAAGAAGAUACGGGGACUAAAAAAAUCAUAAGAAGCAAAAUACGACUGCAGGGAAAAGAAGCUGGAGAGAACAGAAGAAAUGGAAUUGGGACGACGCCUCGGCCAGCCCCUCUGUGCCAUCGUCUCCUGAAUCUGCAGCAGAGCAGUUCCAGUCCAUCCGGGCACGUGUAAUCCAGUUCCUGAUGAUCUGAGCACACAGAGCAGCGCUCAGCUGCUGUGGGGGGCUCA